CGGAGUGUAGCGCAGUCUGGUAGCGCACCUGGUUUGGGACCAGGGGGUCCCAAGUUCAAAUCUUGGCACUCCGACCA
rnacentral:tRNA from 3 species